UACAGAGGUCCCGAGCGUUGUUCGGAUUCAUUGGGCGUAAAGGGUGCGUAGGUGGCGCCGUAAGUGAGGUGUGAAAUCCCUCGGCUCAACCGAGGAACUGCGCUUCAUACUGCAUGGCUUGAGGGAGACAGGGGUGAGCGGAACUUACGGUGGAGCGGUGAAAUGCGUUGAUAUCGUAAGGAACACCCGUGGCGAAAGCGGCUCACUGGGUCUUAUCUGACGCUGAUGCACGAAAGCUAGGGGAGCAAACGGG
rnacentral:rRNA from 1 species